rnacentral:lncRNA from 1 species
GUGACUUUCUUUGAAUUUUUUUUCCCCUCAGACCCUUCAUUUUACACCCCCACAUAUAUCACCUCCCCCACCCCCACCGCCACCCAAAAAAGUGAGAGAGAGAAGGGGGGGGGGGGAGAGCAGACUCUUUGCAAUCAGCAGAGAGCACUCACAGAGCCAGAGAAGGUAGCAAAAUAGUCAUGAAUAGGAAGGAGACGGUUUGGACAAGACAGAGAGAGGGGUCAUGUAAAAACAGGAAGAGAAAAGCAGUUGGAAUACUAAAGAGAAGACAUGCAGAGGAAAACAGGAUACAUUGUACAAUAGUUAAAUGGGAUAAAACACAUGUGAUAAAGUAGGAUAUACAACAUACUAUGAAGAGAGCCCCAAGUGCAGGAGGAAAUCCAGAUACUGGUUUAUAACAGAAGAAACUGGAGGAGAGUCUGAUAAAGAGAUCGAUGGAAGAACAGAACAUAAAAGAUCUACAAUUUGGAAUGUAUCUUUGGGCAUAGUGUGCCCUGCAGAGCAAAGUCUACCCAGACAGGGAUACUGAUUCAUGAUGAGGACUGAGCUGGGAAAGGAAUGGGAUCUGUUGUGUACAGGUAACAGCAUCUUCUGUUCCUCUGUAUACAUGAUUAGACAGGGAGAAAGCAAGAGUGUAUAUGUGUGUGGACAGGCAAUGGCAUAAUCCAUAGAUAUAGACAGAUCAUUAAUAUGUACCUUGACUGUAAGGUGCACUUCUGCUGAGCUCCAUUCCAGACCUCUAUGGACCGCUGCACACCGGGUUUUCAAGAUAACACUUCACAUAUCAUGAGAAUUACUACUGGGCUGAUCCUUACAGUCUGGCAAAGGUACUGGCAACAGAGCAAUAUUGAGAGUUCCCAUUGCUACUAAGGUUAGGAAUCUCAAUUAAUUGUUUGGGUAAAUAAGAAGUGUCACAUCAACAGCUGUAGAUAUUUUUCUGUUGCGUAAAUAAGGCUACUUUAAGCAGAGUUGUUUUAUUCUUACGUUAAUAAAGCCACAACAUUUAUUUACAGUGGUUCUGGGUGCCUUACUUCUUAUUUGUACAAGUGAUUGAUAAAUGUUUUUAUGGAGACAGCAAAGCCAUUAUAAACCUUGUCUGUAGAAACAGCGCCACCUUUAAAUAUAACGGCUGGAAAACAAACUGCAAUCCACUAAAAAACAUUUUUUUUAUUUUUUAUUUUUCUUAGAUAGCUAUGUAUAAUAUUAAGAGUAGUUUCACCUAAUUAAGUUGAAAUAGGACCCUGCGAAAACAAGCAGUAACCUAGUAGUGUUCCUGUAACAUUGUGUAAUUGUCUCAUUUAUUGUUAAAUAUGCCCCUUUUAUAAUGAUGUAGAGCACUGCGGAAUAACCUGGGGUUUCUAAAUUAUACACACUGUUUCUGAACUAUUUGUUUUGUUGAAAGCUAAAAUCAAUGCAAAUAAUGUCAGAACGUGUAUUUAUCUUUUAUGAUCUAAUAAAUCAUUUUUUAAAAUGGUCAAUAAAACAAUUGCAUUAGUGAGCAUACAUUUUACUGUAGUAGUACAUGAUUGUACAGAUUUAAUAACCAGAUGAAAAUCCUAUACAUGUAUUUUGCCUUUGCCUGGUAUCAGUAUGAAUUAAAAUCAACUUUCCCUAAAUAAAGUCAGUUGUUUCUUUAACUAUUCCCUGGAGAUAAAUCCUUUAAAACCAAAUCAUGGGUUGUGAUCUAGUGCUCCCUUACUAAGGGUGCUUGAAGAAAUGCAGGAUGAAGUCUGAACUGGAUCCAAGUCUGUGUUGACUUGCAUGUCGAGCUGGGAAUUCUGGGUAAUUGGUGAAACAUUUCUCAGAAUUAUUGUGCCAAGAGCCUUUUCCCAAAGUUCCAAUUGAAAUAUGCAGAUGAUACAC